rnacentral:rRNA from 1 species
GAUGAACGCUGGCGGCGUGCCUAAUACAUGCAAGUCGAGCGAACAGAUGAGGAGCUUGCUCCUCUGACGUUAGCGGCGGACGGGUGAGUAACACGUGGAUAACCUACCUAUAAUACUGGGAUAACUUCGGGAAACCGGAGCUAAUACCGGAUAAUAUAUUGAACCGCAUGGUUCAAUAGUGAAAGACGGUUUUGAUGUCACUUAUUGCUGGAUCCGCGCCUCAUUAGCUCGUUGGUAAGUUCACGGCUUACCAAGGCAACGAUGCGUAGCCGAGCUCAUAGGGUGAUCGGCCACACUGGAACUGAGACACGGUCCAGACUCCUACGGGAGGCAGCAGUAGGGAAUCUUCCGCAAUGGGCGAAAGCCUGACGGAGCAACCCCGCGUGAGUGAGGAAGGUCUUCGGAUCGUAAAACUCUGUUAUUAGGGAAGAACAAAUGUGUAAGUAACUAUGCACGUCUUGACGGUACCUAAUCAGAAAGCCACGGCUAACUACGUG